rnacentral:lncRNA from 1 species
UAGGAACAGCUCCGGUCUACAGCUCCCAGCGUGAGCGACGCAGAAGACGGGUGAUUUCUGCAUUUCCAUCUGAGAAGCACUGAGUGGUUCCCUGAUUCAGUGGAAGCCAGACAUCCUAUCUAAACCUCUAGAACACCAGGGUCCCGGCUGCUGAGAACUCCAGGCACACGAGGCUGCUUGGGAAAGACUGGAGAAGUGCCAGGAGGAUUAAUUACAGCAGUUAAUGUUUCCAUUUGAAAGGAGAUGAUACUCUGAUCGAAUUAUACUCUGCUCCUUGCCCCAUCUAAUAUUUAUUUGCACAUUAAAGAUAACACGACUGGCUAGAAUUGGCUUCUGAAUAUGUGUGCUCCUUAUCAAGGCCACAGUUUACAGCUUUGCUAGGGAGAGCUAUGGUAAUGAACUACUUGAUCUUUUUUUUUUUUUUUUUUUGAGACGGAGCCUCGCUCUGUCGUCCAGGCUGGAGUGCAGUGGCGCGAUCUCGGCUCACUGCAACCUCCACCUCCCAGGUUCAAGCAGUUCUCCUACCUCAGCCUCCUGCGUAGCUGGGACUACUACAGGCGUGCGCCACCAUGCCCAGCUAAUUUUUGUAUUUUUAGUACAGACAGGAUUUCACCAUGUUGGCCAGGACGGUCCCAAUCUCUUGACCUCGUGAUCGGCCCUCCUCGGCCUCCCAAAGUUCUGGGAUUACAGGCGUGAGCCACUGCGCCCAGCCGGACUAUUUUAUCUUAAAGAGAGACUUGGAAGAGAGGCUGCUGGAAUCCCUAAAGUCUACCUGGAUCUGAUGUAAUCAUGUCUGGCUGACUCAACAGCAGCGGCUUGGAAAUAAAAUGCAAUACGGAACACCUGGAGAGAUGCCUCCUUCUCUUUGUCUAUCUUUCAAGCAUCCCAGACUCAACUUUUAAGAUGUCUCAGAUCUCAGGACAAGAGAAACACUUGCGUAAUGAUAAUCAUAAAAACAGUAAUAGCAGCAAUGCUAAUAAUAAGAAAAUGUAGGAAGAUGUGGGAAUUAGAAAUGAGCAUAUUAAUCUUGUAGCAUUUUGAAUGCACAUAGAACUCAAUCAAGUUGAACUUGACACAGAAAAAUAUACAGUAAUUUCGUGAGAAUGCAAGAUUGCUUUCCAACAAUUGUCACAAUCCACAAGAAAAAUAAACAGGUAAGGCAAAUUGCAUUCAUCUUUUGUUCUCAUUUUAUUCAUGUGCAGACUUAAAAGACAGUUUCAGUUGUAUGGUGAAAUUUCCGGAGAUAUGACCUAGAAAUGUGGCUAAUACCUUUUUUCCUCUUCUUUUAUUGGAAAGUUAAGAUUUCUUCAAAGAGUAUCUUCGUAUAGAUCUUCUUUGACCCAAAAUGAUUUGAAUUAUAAUAAUGAAAAACAAUAAGUAAAACAAAGCGUCAUAUUCUCCCUUGAAAUACUCUCUUUUUCUUGAUUUGCAGAAUAUAUCACUCUCCUGUUCUUUUUGUUUUGUUUUGUUUGAAACAGAGUUUCACUCUUCACUC